CUAGCUAAGGAGUGAGCGAAACAAGGUGGACUCUAAUCCCAUCAUGAAAUCCCGAAGCACAUCAUCAAAUCAUGAGUCAAAAAAUCCGGUAACACAUCGUGAGUAGAGAAAUCAGGAGACGCAUCAUCAAAUCGCGAGUACAGAAAUUCGGAAUCACAUCAUCAAAUCGUGAGUGCUCAUCACCAAAUCGUGAUAGUGGUUAUCUGCAGAACUCUAAUUUGGAGUGCAUAAAUAACAGCUAGAGAAAGUCUGUUCUCCACACCCACAAAGGCAGAGUCAUCGUCUUACAGAGGUGGCAUGGCUGCAGCAUGAGCCACCUCGAGUUCCAGGAGGGAACAACAACACAUCAGCUGUUGAUCUUUCUUUUUUCAGUUGUAAAUACUAUGAUCACCAAGAUACGAACCAGGUCUCUCCCUUCCUACCUCCACCCUCGCAUCCCAGCAAAACGUUAAUUUGUUUCUUAGAGACCUUAGAAUAAAAUUUCAAAUCAAUCAAAUAUUCAUGUUUUGUUUACUUUCCGUUUUCAAGAUUGAUAUCAUAGCGUUUAUUUGCCCCUUAUAAUCAAACAUGGAUAUUUUUUCUUUUUCUUUAUACAAUAAAAAUUUGAUUAUUUUGAAAAUAACAAUAUUCAGAAACGCUAAGAUCGAGUAUAAUCCAUUGAAUGCUAACUAGGCAUUCUAACUCAUUCGGCCAUUUCAUUAAACUAUGCAUUUUAUUGAGUGACAAUAAAGAUAGUUGUUUGCCUAAAAUAAAAACAGAUGGAGAGUUAAUUGGUUGAUAAUUUGAUAAAACAACCAAUUUACCCAUAAUUUUUAUGCAAAACUAUGCAACUAAGUUUUCUUCAAUUAGCUCCUCAAAGAAUAUGUGCCCUCAAGAAAUUAUUUUACUACAUGACAAGUAAUACGAGUUUUUAUUUGAUUUGCGAGUAAAGCCCUAACUGUUGAUCACAUAUAGGUGAUGAAGCUUGAAAUAUUGAUAACCAUUCUAGUUUUUGUAAUGGCUGGUUGUUUCUUUGGAGAAAUGGGCUAUGUCAGACCAGCGUCUGCUGAUGUGUUAAAAGGAAUGUUUAUUAUAAACAUAGUGGCGAUGGCACCGUUGGCGAUGCCAUUGCACUAUUUGGUGCACUUGUCAUGCAGAAUGAUCCCCACUCCCAAAACUUGUUUGUAAUAUUAACGAUUCUCUAAAAUCUACUCUAGUUUUUCUUAACCUCAAGUUCACCCAACUUUAAUAGGCAUAAUCUCUUUCUCCAUUCGGGACAUUUCCUUACUUGAAAGAUACCAAAUUCAGCCCGCGGCAUCAAUCAUUCUUGAUCAACAUCUGAAUGAUAGCUCUCUGGUACUGUUUGCUUGUUUGCUAUGUCGAACACGUACCAACAUAUCAAGUCGCCAUAUUAGCAACGACAUAUUGCUGCUAAUGUGCCGCUACUAUUCAUCGCUAAUGCCUAUUUGUCGCUGCCAUUGCAUAAAGAGUGGAGUUGGACUUCUCCUGUAACAUCUUUUUUUUAGGUUUGCUUUUGGAUCCUUGAGUUUUGAUUUGUUGCAAGAAGGGUCCUCGAUGUCAAAAUCCAUGACUUUUGGGUGUUGUUCGAGUACGUGGGGCGUACGCCUUGGUACACUGAGCGUACUAUGUCCCGUGCCAGUACGCUACGUGUACUCCGGUACACCGGGCGUACGUGGUUCAGACCAAACCCAAAUAAUUAGGGUUUGUGCAUUAUUUAAACACCAUUACGGCCCCAACAACUUUCCUUUUAUCGGCCUCCAUCCCAAGAUCGACCCUCUUUGCAAACUAUAGUUCAUUUUGAGCAUUUUGAGUUUUUUCGAGUGAUUGUGUGCAUCCAUGGUUGUGAAGAAGGACCUUUAAGGGUUAGCUUUGCUCUCAAGACUUUGGAUCCAACAUUUCCUCUUCAUUGUGCACCGUUUGGAGUUAGCAUGGGGAUUUCUCCAGUCCAACAGCUCGAGCAUUUAUCUGAGUUUUUCAGCAAUUGAUGUACUUCCAGUUCCAAAGGGAAGGGCCCGACGUGAUGGCACUACAUUCUCUCCUCAUGGUUUCCACAUUUGAAAUAAUUUGUAGUCUUAUGAUUUAAUACUAUGAUUGUAUGGAUUCCGAACAAUUAAUGAAUGAUUUGAAUGAUUUUUAAAUGAAAAUUUUUUAUUACUA